rnacentral:rRNA from 1 species
UACGUAGGGGGCAAGCGUUAUCCGGCUUUACUGGGUGUAAAGGGAGCGUAGGCGGCGAUGCGAGUCAGAAGUGAAAGCCCGGGGCUCAACUCCGGGACUGCUUUUGAAACUGUAUGGCUAGAUUGCAGGAGAGGCAAGUGGAAUUCCCAGUGUAGCGGUGAAAUGCGUAGAUAUUAGGAGGAACACCAGUGGCGAAGGCGGCUUGCUGGACGAUGACUGACGUUGAGGCUCGAAAGCGUGGGGAGCAAACAGG